CGGCAGGUCUACCAUGCAGUCGAGCGGCAGCACGGGUACUUGUACCUGGUGGCGAGCGGCGGACGGGUGAGUAAUACCUAGGAAUCUGCCUGGUAGUGGGGGAUAACGUCCGGAAACGGACGCUAAUACCGCAUACGUCCUACGGGAGAAAGCAGGGGACCUUCGGGCCUUGCGCUAUCAGAUGAGCCUAGGUCGGAUUAGCUAGUUGGUGAGGUAAUGGCUCACCAAGGCUACGAUCCGUAACUGGUCUGAGAGGAUGAUCAGUCACACUGGAACUGAGACACGGUCCAGACUCCUACGGGAGGCAGCAGUGGGGAAUAUUGGACAAUGGGCGAAAGCCUGAUCCAGCCAUGCCGCGUGUGUGAAGAAGGUCUUCGGAUUGUAAAGCACUUUAAGUUGGGAGGAAGGGCAGUUACCUAAUACGUGAUUGUUUUGACGUUACCGACAGAAUAAGCACCGGCUAACUCUGUGCCAGCAGCCGCGGUAAUACAGAGGGUGCAAGCGUUAAUCGGAAUUACUGGGCGUAAAGCGCGCGUAGGUGGUUCGUUAAGUUGGAUGUGAAAUCCCCGGGCUCAACCUGGGAACUGCAUUCAAAACUGUCGAGCUAGAGUAUGGUAGAGGGUGGUG
rnacentral:rRNA from 1 species